CGUCCCGCAGGAUGUCGACGUUCAGCGUUCACUGAAGAGAACCAGACUCAUCACGAGUGAAAAUAACGAUUUGGGCCCCAGACAGGAGACUCCGCUGAGGUCUGGACAGAGUGAACCAUUUCGACAACUUCUCUGAAAAUAAGAUCAAGAGGCCAAGGAUCAGGUGGUGAGGGCAGAACCAACAGACCAGACAGCUCUCCCACAGCCAGCCUCUGAACCUGCUCUACAGUCUGAAUAGCCCGGGUGAAGUUAAACUCUCCUUCGCUGGUGCACCAGAUGGCUGAGAACAGGAUAGGCUGAUGCCCUGGAAGCUAAGAGGGAGGCGGCAAAGGAGUUCGCAGGCGAGACUGCUGAUUGCAGAGGAGCUGAAACCCACAGAGGACACGGGUCUCAAUGAACACAAGGUGAGGACUGUAUGGAAAUCCAGCUGGUUUAUUGCUGUUAUGUAUUCAGUGGGCUAAUACACAUCUUCAGUCUUCAAAUGGGGACAAAGCAGCAAGGUGUGAGUAGCCUAGUGCUCAAAUAUGCUGUUGCAGUUAGCAUCACAUUAACUUUAGCUGUUAGGCCAGAAAGUCAGGAUCAUCUUUGGCAUUCAGCUCACACAGACGGUUGCCUGGUUAAUCACAGGGUUUAUACACGGCCAAAUACAGCAGUACAGUGAAUUAGCUAAUGUUACCCGCUAACAGCCUGAUCUGAAGAAGCUGCUGAAAGGUUAGCCAGCGUGCAUUAAGACAUGAAAUACUGCUGAUAUCAGGGCGUAACAUUAGCAGCGGAGCAAAUCUGGUUCAACUACGUUCAAUGACAAUAAAACUUUCUGAUUCUGAUUAAGCGGCGACCUAAUGGCUCUGCUCUGGCGAUGCUGUGAGGGUAGAAGGCAAAGUUACCAUUGUGUGUAAAUUGAAAACUACAACUCUGUGAGCGGGCGGCUGGCCGGCCUCACGCUCCCCCCUGACCUCAGCUGACAGCAGUGAACGUGACGCUCCAGUCCACAUCAAAGGGAAAACUAAAUGAAGCUGCCAGCUGUGACGGAGCACUUUAAACUGAGUGAUGACAGCACAAGUGUGAAAGUUAUGGCGUUUCUUACAUUUUACAAUGUUUCCCGGAUUCUGCUCUGGACCUGCUCGGACUCUCAGCUACGGUCCCCCCUGCUCUGUACAGCAGCCACCAACCCGGUUCGGCGUGCACCUGUUUCCACUCUGCCUCGCUCUUCCUGCACUUAGACCUGCUAGCCUUGGCAUAACAAAGUUUUUGUUAUAAUCACUUCAGCCCAGUUCACACUACAUGAUUUUAAGCCUGAUUUGCCGCUCGGCGACCGUCAGGCUGUGAUCAGGGGUAAAUCAGCGAUCGAUCAGGGCGGUCGUUAUGUGCGAACUACUCGACGCAUAAAAACGGCUCCCGGACACAUUUCUGACACAUCGCCAACGCCAGCCAGAUACCCAGCACGCCAAAAAUCUGGAGGAGUCGGCCGACUCGACAUCCACAUCCAGCCAAUGAGAGCAGGCGGCUGCUUUUUCACCAUAAACCACUUUUCACUCCCCUCCAGCUCUCUGUAGCUCAGACGUUUCCUGCUACCUGCGUGUGCUGAUCCAUCCUUUCACCCAGAUUCUUUGUCUUUAUAAUAACAAACAACAGCUGUUUUGUAGGUUUGCGUCAUUUCCCGUUUCACAUUUCACGUGUGUUUUGUUGACAAAACGUGGUUUGGAGACCAGCGCUGAGUGACAGACUCGUCGUCCGCUCGUGUGACCUCCCGUCACCGAUCAGUCACGUAGUGCGAACGCGACGACGACUUCAAGACUCUGAACAGUCUGAACAGCCUAGCUAUGAGAGUAAAUAAACGGAGUUCACAGACAGACACACCCGUGCUGCCGCUAUCUCUCCCACAUCAGAUCCUCCCUCACUUUCUUGAGCAGUUAUCGUUGUUUUGUUAUGAGCUUGAGCCACAAACCAGAGAAGACUCAAACUGUGAUGUUAUCAGCUGUAAAAUCUGGAGCCGCUUGUUAAUAGACAAUGAAUGUGAAACUAAUUUUGCA